rnacentral:lncRNA from 1 species
CAGCAACACGAAGAGGCCCGCGAAGUGGUAGAUGCUCAUCUGCAGGGUCUGGGGGCAACACAGCAGGAGCCCCGCACGGUCACGCCCUGCCCCACCUCUGUAACCGCAAAGACCCGCUUGCCGCAAGGCACCAUCUUGUACCACUUGUCGUGGAGCAGGUCGAUGAAGCCGGAGGACUUGUAGCGGCUGAUGAACUCGGACAGGUUGGAGGAGGUCCCCAGAGACCCCGGCGCCCCGCCUCGCCCAGGUGCCUCUCACCCUCAAUGGCGAAGGGCUUUCCCACGGUCAGCAGUUUGCAGUCGG